GUCCUCUUUGAUUCCCAGCUGCUUCUUUUCCUGGGCUACCCCUUUCCGGUCCUCCUUCCCAAAUUUCGUGGUGGUUACUUUCACUUCCGUGCCAAGAGGAGACUUUCGAUCUAAGGGAGGUCUUGGAAGGAGUCCAGCUGGGAGCGCCGCCGCCAGGUGUACCAAAUGGCCACUGUGCCGUUAUUGACCGUGGUCAGUUCCGAAGAUGUCUUCUCCCCUUCUAGAGUUUCAAAGGUCAAGCGGACAGCAAUUCCAACGUGCUUCUAGGGAAGGAGGAGGUGGGCACUUCUUGGACUCACAGAGACUCUUCAUGCACGGCACUCACCAGCAAAGGAAUGGCCAGGAAAUCCCCAUUAGGGGCUGGUUGCUGGAAGGGAGCUGGCACAGGUGUUGGAAGGGGCCCAGAGAGAGGCUGGGAUGGAGGCACCUGGAUUUCAGAGGGGGGAGUCUGCCCUUCAUACUGUGGGUGCCGGGGGAAGCCACUCUUUCCAACCUCUCUCCCUAGGGCCCAGGCCGACUCACAAGGGCA